rnacentral:rRNA from 1 species
GACGAACGCUGGCGGCGUGCCUAAUACAUGCAAGUAGAACGCACAGGAUGCACCGUAGUUUACUACACCGUAUUCUGUGAGUUGCGAACGGGUGAGUAACGCGUAGGUAACCUGCCUGGUAGCGGGGGAUAACUAUUGGAAACGAUAGCUAAUACCGCAUAAGAACAUUUACUGCAUGGUAGAUGUUUAAAAGGUGCAAGAGCAUCACUACCAGAUGGACCUGCGUUGUAUUAGCUAGUUGGUGAGGUAACGGCUCACCAAGGCAACGAUACAUAGCCGACCUGAGAGGGUGAUCGGCCACACUGGGACUGAGACACGGCCCAGACUCCUACGGGAGGCAGCAGUAGGGAAUCUUCGGCAAUGGGGGGAACCCUGACCGAGCAACGCCGCGUGAGUGAAGAAGGUUUUCGGAUCGUAAAGCUCUGUUGUUAAGGAAGAACGUGUGUGAGAGUGGAAAGUUCACACAGUGACGGUACUUAACCAGAAAGGGACGGCUAACUACGUGCCAGCAGCCGCGGUAAUACGUAGGUCCCGAGCGUUGUCCGGAUUUAUUGGGCGUAAAGCGAGCGCAGGCGGUUAGAUAAGUCUGAAGUGAAAGGCAGUGGCUCAACCAUUGUAGGCUUUGGAAACUGUUUAACUUGAGUGCAGAAGGGGAGAGUGGAAUUCCAUGUGUAGCGGUGAAAUGCGUAGAUAUAUGGGGGAACACCGGUGGCGAAAGCGGCUCUCUGGUCUGUAACUGACGCUGAGGCUCGAAAGCGUGGGGAGCGAACAGG